UACGUAGGGUGCGAGCGUUAUUCGGAAUUACUGGGCGUAAAGCGUGCGUAGGCGGUUUUGUAAGUCAGGUGUGAAAUCCCCGGGCUUAACCUGGGAACUGCGCUUGUGACUGCAAGACUCGAGUACGGCAGAGGGGGGUAGAAUUCCACGUGUAGCAGUGAAAUGCGUAGAGAUGUGGAGGAAUACCGAUGGCGAAGGCAGCCCCCUGGGUCGAUACUGACGCUCAUGCACGAAAGCGUGGGGAGCAAACAGG
rnacentral:rRNA from 1 species